rnacentral:rRNA from 1 species
UACGAAGGGUGCAAGCGUUACUCGGAAUUACUGGGCGUAAAGGGUGCGUAGGCGGUUCGUUAAGUCUGUUGUGAAAUCCCCGGGCUCAACCUGGGAAUGGCAAUGGAUACUGGCGGGCUAGAGUGUGUCAGAGGAUGGUGGAAUUCCCGGUGUAGCGGUGAAAUGCGUAGAGAUCGGGAGGAACAUCAGUGGCGAAGGCGGCCAUCUGGGUUAACACUGACGCUCAGGCACGAAAGCGUGGGGAGCAAACAGG